rnacentral:antisense_RNA from 1 species
CGAACAAAACCAUCUGGACUCUGCUGCAUGGCCCUGUCUGUGGCUGCUAUAGCUGUUGUAGCUGCCUGUGGAAGGCCCUGCCUCCAGCUUCUGCCCUUGGCUGUGAACCAUGGAGUCCCGGCUCUCAGGCAUAUCUCUGGGAUGAUGCACUAGACAUUUUUUUUAGCAGGGUGCAGAACAAUGGAUUCCCCCGAUGCUUGCUUUAAGCAUGAAUUUUUGUUUUACAAAUGCAAUCCUGGGAAGGCAGGGAGUCCACCAAUUAGUGGGAACGGCUCUUACUGACUAAUGGAUGGUUAACUUUACAAGUGGAAUGAUUUUUACAAAUGAGCUACAAUAUGACUGUAAGUAGAAAGUAAAAAAGCAAAUCUUUUUCGUCCUGCA